UUGAUCCUGGCUCAGAAUCAACGCUGGCGGCGUGCCUAACACAUGCAAGUCGAACGAGAAAGUGGAGCAAUCCAUGAGUAAAGUGGCGACCGGGUGAGUUACACGUGACCAAUCUACCCUUGAGUGGGGGAUAACCUCGGGAAACCGGGUCUAAUACCGCAUAACAUCUUCGGGACGGAAGUGCUGAAGAUCAGAGGAGUAAUUCGCUUAAGGAGGAGGUCGCGGCUGAUUAGCUAGUUGGCGGGGUAAUGGCCCACCAAGGCAAAGAUCGGUAGCCGGCCUGAGAGGGCGCACGGCCAUACUGGAACUGAAACACGGUCCAGACUCCUACGGGAGGCAGCAGUGGGGAUUUUUGCGCAAUGGGGGAAACCCUGACGCAGCAACGCCGCGUGGAGGAUGUAGUCCCUUGGGACGUAAACUCCUUUCGACCCGGACGAUAAUGACGGUACUGGUGGAAGAAGCCCCGGCUAACUUCGUGCCAGCAGCCGCGGUAAUAAGGU
rnacentral:rRNA from 1 species